CCUACGGGAGGCAGCAGUGAGGAAUAUUGGUCAAUGGGCGGGAGCCUGAACCAGCCAAGUCGCGUGAGGGAAGACGGUCCUACGGAUUGUAAACCUCUUUUGCCGGGGAGCAACGGGGUCCUUGCGAGGGCCCGAUGAGAGUACCCGGAGAAAAAGCAUCGGCUAACUCCGUGCCAGCAGCCGCGGUAAUACGGAGGAUGCGAGCGUUAUCCGGAUUUAUUGGGUUUAAAGGGUGCGUAGGCGGACUGUUAAGUCAGCGGUAAAAGCCCGGGGCUCAACCCCGGCGAGCCGUUGAAACUGGCUGUCUUGAGAUGUCGAGAGGUAUGCGGAAUGCGCAGUGUAGCGGUGAAAUGCUUAGAUAUUGCGCAGAACUCCGAUUGCGAAGGCAGCAUACCGGCGGCGAUCUGACGCUGAGGCACGAAAGCGUGGGUAUCGAACAGGAUUAGAUACCCCAGUAGUC
rnacentral:rRNA from 1 species